ACGGGGAGCAGCAGGCGCGAAACCUUUACACUGCACGAACGUGCGAUAAGGGGACUCCAAGUGCGAGGGCAUAUAGUCCUCGCUUUUCCCUACCGUAAGGUGGUAGGUGAAUAAGAGCUGGGCAAGACCGGUGCCAGCCGCCGCGGUAGUACCGGCAGCUCGAGUGAUGGCCAAUAUUAUUGGGCCUAAAGCGUCCGUAGCUGGCCGAACAGGUCCGUCGGGAAAUCCGCUCGCUCAACGAGCGGACGUCCGGCGGAAACCAGUCGGCUUGGGACCGGAAGACCCGAGGGGUACGUCCGGGGUAGGAGUGAAAUCCUGUAAUCCUGGACGGACCACCGGUGGCGAAAGCGCCUCGGGAGAACGGAUCCGACAGUGAGGGACGAAAGCUUGGGUCACGAACCGGAUUAGAUACCCGGGUAGUCCUAGCUGUAAACGAUGCUCGCUAGGUGCGACGCAGGCCACGAGCCUGCGUUGUGCCGUAGGGAAGCCGAGAAGCGAGCCGCCUGGGAAGUACGUCCGCAAGGAUGAAACUUAAAGGAAUUGGCGGGGGAGC
rnacentral:rRNA from 1 species